rnacentral:lncRNA from 1 species
GAAUGAAGCCGCUACAGAAUUCAGUUAAUCAAUGCUACAAUUGUAGCACAGAUGGACUAAUUCUUAUGGAUUCUUAUAAAAUACUGGAGUAAAAAAGCAUGUAGAUCACCAUGCGGUAUGGGGAAUCGAAAUUACGGUUCUUACAUGGAUGGUGUAACAACAACUACGACCUGAACAUUUUAAACAUGGAAUGUUGAUCGAAGAGUCAAUUUCACGCAGUUUAUAACAACGGGAGUUACUCUCUGAAAUACAUAUCAACCUAUGACAAUAAAAAGAUGAAGGACUUCCCACUAGAGAACAUUGAAAUAUCAGACGUUUAACGAAAUAUCAACUAUAAUGGAGGAAUGGAAGUCGAAUUCAACUCAAGGCGCUAUGGACAUCAUGUUUGAUAGUCAAGCUAUACUCGAACAACUUUACAAAAAUAACAAAAAGCCGUCGGUAGAAGAAAGAGCAGGAGAAGUUCUAAGAAAGCCGACAUGGACGCUGUCAUUCCUCGUCUUUAUAUUAGGUCUUCUUGCAAACAGUUUUACAAUUCAAGCCAUUUUGAAUAUUCCAAAGCAUCACAGAUCAGCACAUUUGAAAUUUGUCAUUAGCCUUGCGUGUUCAGACAUUUUGAUUUUGGUUGCAAUAUUCUGCGGUGACAUCAUUUAUAUAUUUUCGUCACUUCACAGCGAUUGUUCUAGAUUGUUGAAAACCUUGAUGUUGGACGUACCACUGUUGGCGACUCUGUUAAAUCUAUUAGCAAUGGCUUUGGAUCACUAUCCUAGCGAGCUUUAGACAGCUACACUAUCCCCAUCUUAUGACAAGAUCGCGUGGCAAUUACGUUAUCUGUUGUAUUUGGAUGUUUAGUGUCGCCUCGGUCUUAACUGAAUUUGUUAUAGGAAUAGAUUUAAGUGCCAAUACUUUUGGCUACAUUUUGCAUGGCCAUUGCUUACGAUUCGUAUAACAUUGAACAGUUUAUUGUUGGUACUAUUUUCGUGGUACUACUUUUCAUCAUCCUAAUUUAUAUCAGGAUGUACAUUCAUGUGAGGCGAUCUCUUCCUGGAAGACCGAGACAUAAGCGACAAAGCGUAUCGCCUAGUUUGAAAACACUAGUGACAACUAUGCUUUUUAUCGGCACUUUCCUUCUCUUUUGGACACCCGAGGGAGUCUUUCAAAUCUACAUGUAUUUGAGGACGAAGACCGAUGAAAAGUUCAUACAUGAACAUCUUGAAGAUAUAACUCAUGUCAGCGAUAUCUUAUUUCUCAUCCUUCAGCUUAAUUCAUUGGCUGACCCGAUUAUUUAUGCUAUCCGGCUUCCUAAAGUACAACAAGGAUUAAAACGUUUAUUUUGCAAGACGGCUGAUCGUAAUCAAGGAAUUGACAAGUGUAACAUACAACUUAAACAGACAAAUGUAACCAA